GUGUGUGUGUAUAUAAUAUAUAUAUAUAUAUAUAUAUAUAUAUAUAUAUAUAUUGUCUAUAUUAUUCUAUAUAUACUUUUUUCUUUUCAAUAUUUAUCUAUUUUCUAUUCAAUUUUAAUUAUUUUUUAAAAGUCUUGUUGCUGUUUUUUGUAGUGUUGUGUACUGGAAGCUCCUGUCACCAAGACAAAUUCCUUGUAUGUGUAAGCAUACUUGGCAAUAAAGCUCAUUCUGAUUCUGAUUCUGAAGGAAUCGUCGCUGAAGAUACUGAAGAAAUGGCAGACGUUAAUCUUCAGAUACCUGUGAAACACUGCUUUUCUCAAAACCCUGAAGAAAUAAGACUGAAUUUCAUCCUCGGUCUAGACUGAACUAGAAACUUAGAGGCAGUAAAUGUCAGCAUGAUUUUACCAUGUUUUAUCCCAUGUUUUUGUUUCAGGAAGUAUAAUAUGGAAUAACGGGGGGAAUCUCAGAAGAGGAGGCUGUGUAUUGGAUCAUGGGGAGGUUUUUGCUGCUCCUUGUCUAAAAAUGAACUGCCCCGAAGAUUUUUGUACUCUACAUUUUUAUCCAAAGUGACUUAUAAAUGAGGAAUAAAGCAACAUCAAUUCAUCCUAAUGCAAUAACAUGAGCUGCAAUACAAAGUUCCAAAUUGCUCAGAGAAGAACAAGUAGGGAGGAAGGUACGUUAAAUAAAAACACACAAACAAAGAAUUCACGGGAUGAAGAUGUGGAAAGACAUGUUGCACAAUGACCAUGAAAAGCUCCCAAUAAGCUCUGAGUCUCAGGUCCAUCAAGGUGAUGCUGUACCUUCCACAAUGAUCUCCACAGUAACCUGGCAUCUGCCAGCAUCAUUGACCGCCUCACAGGAGUAACAUCCUCCGUCUUCAUUCUGGACCUCACAGACCAGCAAACUGAAG